GUGCCAGCAGCCGCGGUAAGACGAACCGUGCGAACGUUGUUCGGAAUCACUGGGCAUAAAGGGCGCGUAGGCGGUCGACCAAGUCCGGGGUGAAAUCUUUCGGCUUAACCGGAAAAGUGCCUUGGAUACUGGCCGGCUGGAGGGAGGUAGGGGCAGGUGGAACUUCCAGUGGAGCGGUGAAAUGCGUUGAUAUUGGAAGGAACGCCGGUGGCGAAAGCGACCUGCUGGACCUCUUCUGACGCGGAUGCGCGAAAGCUAGGGGAGUGAACGGGAUUAGAAACCCGUGUAGUCC
rnacentral:rRNA from 1 species